AUGGCGACACAGAGACUUUCCCCUCCAACAUUGGUGCUGACAGAUGCGUUGCUGGAACAGAAUUUGUCAACGCCGGAAGCGAAAUCGAAGAAGUGUGAUCUUCUGAAUGACUGCAUUCACAUGGGUAUGUCGAUGGAUGGCUGGUUCGCACGGUAUGCACCCGACCAGGAAAGAGAGAUCGAUAAGCAAAACUCAAUGGCAUUAUUCAUUGCAGCACGCGCCCCUUCGCAUCUGAUCGCCAUGGACGUACAACUGGUCUGGAGCCUUGGCCUUCUUAUCAAAUUCGCCAUGUAUUUGGAACUAGGAUCUCAUUGUCUACAUCAUAUGUGUCUAUCAGCUCACAUGCCACAUUCUUCCCUUCCCAUUUUAAAACCAACAAUAAUCGGGUCGUCGGUUUACAAUAUACCUAUCUGCUUACGUUUAUUAACUUCCAAGAUAUUUUUGUAA
rnacentral:rRNA from 1 species